rnacentral:rRNA from 1 species
CUGGCGGCAUGCCUAACACAUGCAAGUCGAACGGAGUAUCAGGGGCUUGCUCUUGAUACUAGUGGCGAACGGGUGAGUAACGCGUGAGCAACCUGCCUUCAAAACCGGGAUAACACAGAGAAAUUUGUGCUAAUACCGGAUAAGACCACAGUGUCGCACGACACAGUGGUAAAAAACUCAGGUGAUUGAAGAGGGGCUCGCGACCCAUUAGCUUGUUGGCGGGAUAACAGCCCACCAAGGCGACGAUGGGUAGCCGACUUGAGAGAGUGAUCGGCCACACUGGAACUGAGACACGGUCCAGACUCCUACGGGAGGCAGCAGUGGGGAAUAUUGGGCAAUGGAGGAAACUCUUUAACCCCCAGCAAUGCCGCGUGAGUGAAGAAGGUCGUAAGAUUGUAAAGCUCUUUAAUUGGGGACGAAGACAGUGACGGUACCCAAAGAAUAAGCCCCGGCUAACUACGUGCCAGCCGCAGC